AAAAAAAAAGAAAAAGAAAAGAAAGUGACCUUAUUGAAAUAAAUAAAUUUAGUUCAGUGAUUUUGUUGAAAAUAAUUAAAAUUCAGUGCCAAUAUCGGAAUUCAGUGAUUAAGUUCAGCGACCAUGAGUAAAAUUACCUCUAGAGGCUUUGAAUCUCAAACCCAGCAUUUGGCAUGUUUUCCUCCUUUUUGUGGUAAAUAGAUGACUUCAUAUAUUAAGGUUUUCAUCAAUUCUUCUAGUGGUGAGAAAUUCCUUGAAAUAUUGUCUGAAAUUUGUUUUUCCCUUAUUUAAAAAUGUUUCCUUUCCAACCAAUGAGCUUUAGCGAAAGCUAGGUGAUACUGGAGUCUUCUCCAGGUUAAUUGUAUAUAUAAAAAAAAUUCCUUUGCAUUUUUGCAUUGGUGAUUAAUCGGUUGAUAUAUUUUAAUUGCACUGGAUUGAAAUGUAAACGGAACAUGUUUUUAAGACAAGAAGAUGAAAAUUAUUCAUUUGCUUAAUGAGAAUGAAUAGGGUUUGGUACUGGGGUUGCGGAAA
rnacentral:misc_RNA from 1 species